rnacentral:rRNA from 1 species
AACGUAGGAGACAAACGUUAUCCGGAGUUACUGGGCGUAAAGGGCGUGUAGGUGGUAUCGUAAGUCUGGCGUGAAAUUUCUCGGCUUAACCGAGGCAGGUCGUCGGAUACUGCGAGGCUAGAGGACGGUAGAGGCGUGUGGAAUUCCGGGUGUAGUGGUGAAAUGCGUAGAGAUCGGCAGGAACACCCAGGGAGAAAGCAGUGGACUGGCACGGUGCUGACGCUCAGGUGCGAAAGCGUGGGGAGCGAACCGG